rnacentral:rRNA from 1 species
UACGUAGGCAGCGAGCGUUGUUCGGAGUUACUGGGCGUAAAGGGUGUGUAGGCGGUUCUUUAAGUUUGGUGUGAAAUCUCCCGGCUCAACCGGGAGGGUGCGCCGAAUACUGAGGGACUAGAGUGCGGGGAGAGGAAAGUGGAAUUCCUGGUGUAGCGGUGAAAUGCGUAGAUAUCAGGAGGAACACCGGUGGUGUAGACGGCUUUCUGGACCGUAACUGACGCUGAGACACGAAAGCGUGGGUAGCAAACAGG